CUUCGUGAUGAGAUAAUUUGCGACUGACUCCAGUGACCGGAGGCUCCCGCCAGAGCCUCUCAACGGCGCUGGAGCCAUGAUAUUCAAUCUUACAUAUUCUGACU
rnacentral:snoRNA from 1 species